UUUCAAAAAAAAAAAAAAGGAGCAGCAGCGGUAAAGGGAGGCUGCCACCGUGGGUUUUUAGGGUUGCAAAUCAAGUUCUAAGGUUAUUAAGAUAUUUGAGUGAUUUGUUUCGUACUAUCAAUUCAGCAAACCAACUUUCAAUAAUUGCACCUCCAUAGGAUUACUUUGGACGAGAGCUUUGUUAGCAAGUUUAGCAUCUGCCCUUAGUCUCGUGUUUCUCAAAUGUGAGUAUUUUGGAUAUCAGUCGUUAGUAAAUUUGUUAGUUAGUGAAAUUUUUGUACCCUUCACCAAAUUAUAUCACUGAAUUUUGGAGAAUUUAGGUUUUGUAAGAUAUGAUACAUGGAGACUUUGAAAUUCUGUAUGGUGUUAUCUUGAAAAAAAUUUUGAGGUUCUGAAUUUUUA